UGGGUGAUCUGCCCUGCACUUCGGGAUAAGCCUAGGGAAACGUGGGUCUAAUACCGGAUAGGACGAUGGUUUGGAUGCCAUUGUGGAAAGUUUUUUCGGUGUGGGAUGAGCUCGCGGCCUAUCAGCUUGUUGGUGGGGUAAUGGCCUACCAAGGCGUCGACGGGUAGCCGGCCUGAGAGGGUGUACGGCCACAUUGGGACUGAGAUACGGCCCAG
rnacentral:rRNA from 1 species